UGCGCAGGCGGCCAUGUAUGUGAAGUGUGAAAGCCCGGGGGCUUAACCCCCGGAAUUGCACCUCAAACUACAUAGCUAGAGCAUUGAAGAGGGUAGCAGAAUUCACGGUGUAGCAGUGAAAUGCGUAGAUAUCGUGAGGAAUACCAGAGGCGAAGGCGGCUACCUGGACAAUUGCUGACGCUCAGGCACGAAAGCGUGGGGAGCAAAAG
rnacentral:rRNA from 1 species